UAUUAGAGAUACACCCCUACCUUAAAAUAAAUUACACAUAUAACAUUAUAAUAAAAUUAUCAUUAACACCCUCUUAUUUCAUCACAACUCUUCACAUUCUCAUUACAUCUUUUCAUAUUUAAAUAUCAAUCAAAUAUUCAAUCUUAUAUAUUAAUUCCCAAAUUCAUAUUACACAUUCCUAUAUACAUUAAUUACCAUAAUUAAAUACACCCAACCAACAUAACCGUUGGGUGUUCUUCUAUAUAAACAUACCUAAUCCUAGUUUAAGUUUAACACUCGAUCAUACACACCCACACACUCUGUAUUACAAUUACAGACUCUGUGUCACUCUGUCUGAUCAUUCUGCAACUGCAACUACUGAUCUUCAAACGCUUCCGCAAUACAACAACUUGAAUCACAGAUUCAAGUUCAACCACAUUCAACUCACUUCAACAAGCUGUGGAUUAUCGCUUCAUCAAUCGAUCAUCCUACAGUAUCAAUUUAUAGUUCAUUAUCAUAUCAUCAUACAUACAUUGAUAAUUCAAUUCUUAAACCAUAUUUCAUAUUUAUAUUUGCAUAUAUUUCAAAUAUAAAAUCUAUCAUGGUAUCAGAGAAGGUUCAAUCCUGAUCAAAAUAUUUUUUUCUCUAUUCUAAAAUCAUUUCUUUUCUUUUCUUUCUUCUAUCAAUUCUUUCUACAAAAAGGGAAACAGCACUACAAACUGUUUCAAAAACACAAAACUCUAUCCCUUCUGUUUCAAGCAGCAUUGUCAAUCAUCAAAAACAACCCUGUUUCUCCAGAUAUUGUCAAAGAAUUCUUGUGGAGGACGAGGAGGUAGUGGAAUCUCCACUGCCAGAACACCAUUUCCCUUCUCCCCCUCAGAAUUCAGGCCCACAUCUGGAUCACUCCAUAUCUCAUAGUCAGGCAUAGAAUCAUCACUAUCAUAAUCAUAGUAGAAUUCCUGAGUCACCACACCAUCCUCGCCAUCACUAUCUGAGGGAAAUUCAAUAUCCCACACAGGAACAGGUCUCUCAUACUCAUAGUCAUAGGAAUAUUUUACAUCUUCCACAUCACCAAAAUACUCCAAGGNNNNNNNNNNNNNNNNNNNNNNNNNNNNNNNNNNNNNNNNNNNNNNNNNNNNNNNNNNNNNNNNNNNNNNNNNNNNNNNNNNNNNNNNNNNNNNNNNNNNCUAAGCUCUCUCAUUCUCCUGAGAUUCCUGGUGUGCCUUCUCAUCAGCCUUCUUUCCCUCCUCUCAUUUUUAUCUGAAAAUGACAACAAAGAAUGAUGAGUUUAAAAUCAAAGAUGGAAAUCCAUACUAUAUUUCAGGGAGUGAUAAUUCCAACACAAGUCUGGUAGUAACUCCACUCAGUGGAUCAAACUAUCAGACAUGGGUGGUUGAAAUUCAAAGAUCUCUAUCCACCAAAAAUAAACUGGGUUUCAUAAAUGGAACCAUUACAAAACCAGCAGAAAACACAGAUAACUACUUCAUACCCUGGGUCAGAUGCAAUGAUCUAGUCACAGCAUGGAUACUGAACAGCUGCUCCAAGGAAAUCAAAAGCAGCACAAUCUUCAUAAAAGAUGCCAACAUCUUGUGGCAAAAUCUCAAACAGAAAUACAGCAGAGCAAACUCUCUGGUCAUCUCUCAACUGAAAAGGCAGAUUGCACUAUGCACUCAAGGCAACGAAUCUGUAAGCAAUUACUAUGCCAAGCUACAGGGACUCUGGAAUGAAUUGGACAACAAUCAAAUUUUUGAAUGUUGUGGAAAUGCUAACUGCAUAGCAAAGGAAAAUCUGGAAAGGUUAAUCACCUUCACAACUGGUUUAAAUGACUCCUUCAUGACCAUCAGAGGACAGAUUUUAAAGAAGAAGACUCCACCUUCAGUAGAAGAUGCUUUCAGCAUGGUUCUACAAGAAGAAACUCAAAGAGAGUGUGUAUACCCUGAGGAAGGCAAUGCCAUGGUAGUACAAUCCAAAAAUCCUCAGGUAAAAACACACAUUCAGAGUGAAGACUCCAAACCCUACUGCACAAGAUGCAAGAAACAUAACCACACUCUGGAAACAUGCUUCUAUGAGCAUGGGUUUCCACCAGGACAUGGGCUCCAUGGGGUAGAUUUCAACAAAAAGAAGGACACAAAAUUUGUUGGAAAGAAAAACUACAAUGGCAGGCCCAACAAAGGACAGAAAGGCAAAUACCAAAGCAACAAUGCCAGUACACAACAAGAAGAAGAUGAACCAAAACCAAACGAAGAGAAAACUGAAAACAAGUUCAUCACCAGAGAAGAGCUAAUAGACAUACUGGGAGGAUUCUCCAAAGGGAACCAGAGUCAGGCUCACAUGGCUUCUGGAAGCUCAUCUGGUAAGUCACAUUAUAAAAAUAACACUUGUUUUCAUUAUUCCUUAAACACACACACAAAACCACACACUGAAACUAAAAAUGAUCAAUGGAUCAUUGACACAGGGGCAACAGAUCACAUGUGUUCCCCCAACACCAAACUACAGAACAUAAAAACACUUCUAUACCCAAUCAACAUACAUCUCCCAAACUCACAGACCACAAGAGUAUCAUCAAGUGGCUCCACAACCCUAUCAAAAGACAUUGUUUUACACAAUGUUUUAAAAAUACCAUCCUUCUCAGUAAACCUUCUAUCUGUAAGCAAAUUAACAAAAGAUAUAAAUUGCUUAUUCACCUUCCACCCUACUUUCUGUUCCAUACAGGACCAGCAGGGAAACCAGAUUGGUGGUGGUGAGAAGAAGGAUGGCCUAUACAUACUGAAGCUAGAGUCACCCCAGGCCAAUCAUAGCCAACAAAGGGAAUCUAAAGAUGAAGAAAUCUGGCACAGAAGGCUAGGGCACCCUGCACCUUCUAGAUUUUAUCACCUACAUUUAUUGAACAAUUGUAUUCCUAAAAUUUUUUCAAAAUUUUGUAAUACAUGUCCUUUGUCAAAACAAACAAGAUUAUCUUUUAAUUCUAGCACAAGUAAAACUACAAAAUGCUUCCAACUUAUUCAUCUAGAUAUUUGGGGCAAGUUUCAUACACCUACACAUCAAGGAAACAACUACUUUCUGACCAUCGUAGAUGACUAUUCAAGGGCUACCUGGGCCUUCCUGAUGACAAACAAAGCUGAGACAAUAGGAAAAUUCAAACAGUUCAUCUUGGAUGUUAAAAAUCAACAUCAAACAACGAUCCAAACCAUAAGAACAGACAAUGGAACAGAAUUCCUAUCUAAAGAAUUCCAAAAUACUAUAAAAACAAAUGGAAUAGCACACCAACUAUCAUGUCCCUACACUCCUCAACAAAAUGGGAGAGUAGAGAAAAAACACCAGCACAUACUACAAGUGGCCAGGUCACUUAUGAUUCAAUCCAACAUUCCCCUUACAUAUUGGGGGGAAUGCAUCCUAACAGCUGUAUUCCUAAUAAAUAGAACCCCAGCUGUUGUCCUAGACAAUGACACCCCUUACUACAGGCUGUUUAAUGAGCAACCAAACCUCUCUAUCCUAAGAGUAUUCGGAUGUCUUUGUUAUGCUACAAACAACAAAACAAAGACAAAAUUUGAAAACAGAGCCAUCAAGGGAAUUUUCCUAGGAUACUCUUUCCAAAGAAAGGGUUAUAAGAUACUCAAUCUGUCAAACCAAGAAAUCUUCACAAACAGGGAUGUUACUUUCCAUGAAGAAAUAUUCCCAUUUCAAGAAAAACCUAAACAACAUGAGGAAGACUUCUUCAACAAAGAACCACUAGAAGAAACAAACACAUACAUAACUCCCUCACAUGACCAAUAUGAGUCAGAGGAAGAUGAGGAGAUAAUUCCUCAAAUUUCUCACAUUCCUCCUUCAAUGGAACUCACUGAACAAUAUGAGUCAGAAGAAGAGGAAGAAAUAGCUGAAACACCAACACCAGCAGACAAUGAGGGCACUAACAGAACAUCAAAAAGAACUAGAAAAAUGCCUUCAUACCUAAAAGAUUACAAACUACAACUAGCAUCAUCUAGACACCCAAUAGGGAAAGAAAUCUCACACCAAAAUUUCACCCCAGAACACUAUGCUUUCAUCACAACAAUAGAAAGCAACAAUGAUCCAAGCUCAUACAAAGAAGCCUCCAAACAUGCCAAAUGGAACAAUGCUAUGAAACAAGAACUUGAGGCUCUUGAAAACAACAAAACAUGGACAAUCACUAGCAUUCCUCAAGGAAAGAAACCAAUUGGCUGCAAAUGGGUUUACAAGACCAAAUUCAACAGCGAUGGAACUGUUGAAAAACAUAAAGCAAGAUUGGUUGCAAAAGGAUACAACCAAAUUGAGGGGAUAGAUUUCACAGAAACCUUUGCCCCUGUCUCAAAAAUGACAACACUCAGAGUCAUUUUGGCAAUAGGAGUAUCCAAGAAAUGGCACAUGCAUCAAAUGGAUGUGCAAAAUGCCUUCCUACAUGGAACUCUAGAAGAAACUAUAUACAUGAAAAUCCCCCUGGGUCUAGACAUACCAAAAGACUCACCAACAAAUUCAGUCUGCAGACUGAAUAGGUCACUAUAUGGCCUAAAACAAGCCUCCAGAGUGUGGUAUCAAACUCUGUCAAAGGCUCUAUCCAAUUUUGGAUACAAACAAUGCAAGACAGAUUAUUCACUGUUCAUAAACAUUGAUGAUAAAGAUACUACAAUAGUAUUAGCCUAUGUUGAUGACCUGUUAAUAACAGGAAAUAACAUAGAUAAAAUUAAUACCUUAAAAGGAAACUUAAGUGAAACCUUCAAAAUAAAGGACCUAGGAGAACUUAAAUAUUUCCUAGGCCUUGAAUUCACAAAAACACCAAAUGGCCUAUACAUUGGGCAAAGAAAAUACACCUUAGAUCUAUUGGAAAAAUAUGAUCUAACUCAAUGCAAACCAAACAACACUCCAAAUAGCCAAAAACAAAUAUCCAAUUAUAAAACAGAAAAACUUAAUAACACAUUAAUACAACCAAAUAACCACAUUAACAAAACACCAAUGCAAUCACAUAAAACAGAGACAUGUGGAACCCCAUUAGAGGACCCACAGCAAUAUAGAAGUAUAAUUGGCAAGUUAGUUUAUUUAACUUGCACAAGACCAGACAUAUCAUAUGCUGUGACUUAUCUAAGCCAGCACAUGGCAACACCCACAGACAUUCACAUGAAAGCUGCCUACAGAGUAUUAAAAUACAUAAAAGGAUCACCUGGUGUGGGGUUGCAUUUUACAGGAUCAUCAAUGGACCACAUUUCUGCAUUUUCUGACUCAGAUUGGGCAAGUUGCCCAACCACCAGACGAUCAACAUCGGGGUUUGCCAUCUUCCUUGGUACUUCCCUAGUAUCUUGGAAAUCAAAAAAGCAACAAACAAUAUCAAGAUCAUCGGCUGAGGCCGAGUACAGAGCAUUGGCCUACACUACAUGUGAAAUAACUUGGUUAACAAUGCUACUACAUGAGAUAGGAGUUUACCAGAUACGACGAUCACCGGCUCCAUGUAUCUUCACCGACAGCACGGCAGCAGAGGUGAUUGCACGAAACCCUAUAUCACACCAACGAACAAAGCAUAUAGAGAUCGAUCUUCACACGGUGAGGGACAAGGUUUUAGCGGGAGAUAUUACACUAAGACACGUCUCUAGCACACAAAACAUUUUUUGGUGAUUUUUUCACUAAACCCUUGGGUGGUCCUGCAUUUAAAAAUUUAAUCCAAAGACUAAACCUAAUUGAUAUACACACCAAGAAUUCAAACCCAAUUAAUUCACUUCAACACCCCAAUGCACCCAUAUAUUCAAAUCAAACCCUGACCGGUUUUGAUUUGAGGGAGGAUAUUAGAGAUAUACCCCUACCUUAAAAUAAAUUACACAUAUAACAUUAUAAUAAAAUUAUCAUUAACACCCUCUUAUUUCAUCACAACUCUUCACAUUCUCAUUACAUCUUUUCACAUUCAAAUAUCAAUCAAAUAUUCAAUCUUAUAUUAAUUCCCAAAUCCAUAUUACACAUUCCUAUAUAUAUUAAUUACCAUAAUUAAAUACACCCAACCAACAUAGCCGUUGGGUGUUCUUCUAUAUAAACAUACCUAAUCCUAGUUUAAGACAACACACGAUCACACACACACAUCCACACACUCUGUAUUACAAUUACAGACUUUGGGUUACUCUGUCUGAUCAAUUCUGCAACUGGAACUGCAAUCAUCAAACGCUUCCGCAAUACAUCAACUUGAAUCACAGAUUCAAGUUCAAUCACAUUCAACUCACUUCAACAAGCUGUGGAUCAUCGCUUCAUCAAUCGAUCAUCCUAUAGUAUCAAUUUACAGUUCAUUAUCAUAUCAUCAUACAUAUAUCGAUAAUUCAAUUUCUAAACCAUAUUUCAUAUUUAUAUUUGCAUAUAUUUCAAAUAUAACUUCUAUCACUAUAUCUAUUUAUUUUUUAGAUUAAGAUAUUUAUUUAAAUUUUCUUGUAAUUUAUUU
rnacentral:lncRNA from 1 species